AUUGAACGCUGGCGGCAGGCCUAACACAUGCAAGUCGAACGAGUGGCGGACGGGUGAGUAAUGUCUGGGAAACUGCCCGAUGGAGGGGGAUAACUACUGGAAACGGUAGCUAAUACCGCAUACCAUCGGAUGUGCCCAGAUGGGAGUAGCUAGUCGGUGGUGUAACGGCGCACCUAGGCGACGAUCCCUAGCUGGUAUGAGAGGAUGACCAGCCACAUGGGAACUAAGACACGGUCCAGACACCUACGGGAGACAGCAAUGGGGAAUAUUGAACAAUGGGCGCAAGCCUGAGGCAGCCAUGGCGCGUGUAUGAAGAAGGGCUGCGGGUUGUAAAGUACUUUCAGCGGGGAGGCGUUACCCGCAGAAGAAGCACCGGCGAACUCCGUGCCAGCAGCCGCGGUAAUAC
rnacentral:rRNA from 1 species